rnacentral:rRNA from 1 species
CCAAUAGCGUAUAUUAAAGUUGUUGCAGUUAAAAAGCUCGUAGUUGAAUUUCGGGAUCAAUAUGCCGGUCAUGCCUUGGUAUGCACUGGUAUCUUUGAUUUCUCCCUUCUGACGAACUUUGAUGUCAUUAAUUUGGUGUCAUAGGGAAUCAGGACUGUUACUUUGAAAAAAUUAGAGUGUUUAAAGCAAGCUCACGCUUGAAUACAUUAGCAUGGAAUAAUGAACUAGGACGUUUGAUUCUAUUUUGUUGGUUUCUAGGAUCGACGUAAUGAUUAAUAGGGAUAGUUGGGGGAAUUAGUAUUCAAUUGUCAGAGGUGAAAUUCUUGGAUUUAUUGAAGACUAACUACUGCGAAAGCAUUUGCCAAGGAUGUUUUCGUUAAUCAAGAACGAAAGUUAGGGGAUCGAAGACGAUCAGAUACCGUCGUAGUCUUAACCAUAAACUAUGCCGACUAGGGAUCGGAUGAUGUUAAUUUUUUAAUGACUCAUUCGGCGCCUUACG